rnacentral:tRNA from 1 species
GCCAGUGUGGCUCAGUGGAUAGAGCGUCAGCCUGCAGACUGAAGGGUCCCGGGUUCAAUCCCCGGUCAGGGCA